GACGGAGGGUGCUAGCGUUGUUCGGAAUUACUGGGCGUAAAGGGCGCGUAGGCGGCCCGGUCAGUCGGAUGUGAAAGCCCGGGGCUCAACCCCGGAACGGCAUCCGAGACGGCCGGGCUGGAGACCGGGAGAGGAGGGUGGAAUACCCAGUGUAGAGGUGAAAUUCGUAGAUAUUGGGUGGAACACCGGUGGCGAAAGCGGCUCUCUGGCCCGGAUCUGACGCUGAGGCGCGAAAGCGUGGGGAGCAAAC
rnacentral:rRNA from 1 species